rnacentral:lncRNA from 1 species
AGGUAGGGUGUCGCCAUGUACUUACACGUGGCGAAACAGACUACACCCACGUCGACCACUGUGCCACCUGGAGAUGAUGAUGUAUCGUUUUCGUUCUUAUUAAGAUGUCACGUUCGUGUGGGCAGACUCGUGUCAAACCCAUCGCCCGCCGAUGAUGAUCGAUACCCACUUCAAAUGGGAAUUGCAGUGGGCUGUUUGCUUAAAUAAGAUUCAAAUAUCUUUU